AAAGUCGUAACAAGGUUUCCGUAGGUGAACCUGCGGAAGGAUCAUUACCGAACUGUCGACACGAGUUGUUGCUGGUCCUCGAAAGGGGGCACGUGCACGCUCUGUUCACACAUCCACUCACACCUGUGCACCCUCUGUAGUUCUAUGGCCUUGGGGACUCUGUCCCCUUGCUGUGGUCCUACGUCUUUACACACACACCGAUGAAGUCUCAUGGAAUGUAUGUCGCGUUUAACGCAAUACAAUACAACUUUCAGCAACGGAUCUCUUGGCUCUC
rnacentral:misc_RNA from 1 species